AAAUUAAUUUUUUUUUUAAAGUUAUUUGUCAUAAAUAUGUUAAAAAUCUUUAGAUCUUUGUGUAUGCGUAAGCGUGUGUGUUUGUGUGAAAAAUAAUAUGAGCUAAAAAGAAUUAAGAGGAUCAAAACUGAUGUCAAUAAUAGCAAAGCAAAGACUACUUUAAACAGUGACUCAUCGAGCUAAAAAAAGCGUUACCAGAUGUCCACGGAGGUCAUUCGGGAUCACCAGGUGUUCAUAGCGAUGAAAGUAUAAUAAUAUCUCUAUGCAAUAAAUAUAUCUGCAGAUUUAUUCUGUGCGAAAAUGUUGGUGGAAUAACAUCUUCAUGUAUCGUGCUUGUUUACUAAUUAAAUUUAAAAAAAUAAAUCAAUAAAAGAACUAAAUAGAACAUUUCGGUUGAAGUGUGGUGACAGUGAUAAUUCAUAAUUAUUAAAAUGAAUGAAUAUGUGUGUGGAAGAUAAUAUAUUUUUGAACAUUAAUCUGUACGCUGCUUUCCGCUAUUUCGCGUAAUCUGUUGUUGAUAACUGACUUUUAAUUAUGACAUUUCAACGAGAAUAUUAUUGCAAGAAAUUGAACUUAAUUACGUUUCAAGUUGGUCGAUCCAAUUACGUGUGAUCAAUGUGUUCCUUCAACACGAAUAGGCUUUUAAAUAUUGAGAAAGAAAUAAAAUGCAAAUAGUCAACUAAACGUUUCUACGUGUGUUACUGUUAUCGUGUGUAUCGGGCAAGACAAUAUAGCAAUAUGAAACUUCAAGAAAAAAUUGCUUUUGCUCGACAAAAUCCUGUUUACGAGGCCAUUCCUCUAGUUGUUCUUCAUAAAGCGGAAAAGAAAAAGUGCAAUGAGAGGUUUAUGGUUCCGAGAGACGAUCUGACAUAUCACGUUUCUAGUCCAUCUUGGAUGAAAUGCCGCUUAUUAUUAUUUUGGAUAUUGUGGGCUGCAUUAAUAAUGGCAAUGAUAAUCUCUGUUCUCACUUUUUUUUGUCUUAUACCUCGAACGUGCCAUAAUUCAAAUACACAUAGAGAACAUGAACAUGAACAUAAGAACAUGAACAUGAACAGACAGUAAAUACAUCGUCUCCUGAAAUGCGGUGGGACUAUUACCUAAUUAUUAACAAUAUGCAAGAAGUAAUAUGUUUAGAUAGAAUAAAAAAGCAUUUAUAUAUAUAUAAUAUAAGAUAUUAUAAAUUGUACAUUUUUCCUACAUAUUGUUACAUCGGUAAUUUUGUAGCUGCUAAUAUAAUUUCUAAUUCUAACUGUAUUUACAAUAUUUUCUACAUUUUGUAUUUACCAUUACAAAAUUUUUA
rnacentral:misc_RNA from 1 species